rnacentral:rRNA from 1 species
GGGGAAUUUUCCGCAAUGGGCGCAAGCCUGACGGAGCAACGCCGCGUGAGGGAUGGAGGCCUUUGGGCUGUAAACCUCUUUUCUCAAGGAAGAAGAUCUGACGGUACUUGAGGAAUAAGCCACGGCUAAUUCCGUGCCAGCAGCCGCGGUAAUACGGGAGUGGCAAGCGUUAUCCGGAAUUAUUGGGCGUAAAGCGUCCGCAGGCGGCCGUUUAAGUCUGUUGUUAAAUCGUGGAGCUCAACUCCAUCACGGCAAUGGAAACUGUUCGGCUUGAGUAUGGUAGGGGCAGAGGGAAUUUCCGGUGUAGCGGUGAAAUGCGUAGAUAUCGGGAAGAACACCAGUGGCAAAAGCGCUCUGCUGGGCCAUUACUGACGCUCAUGGACGAAAGCCAGGGGAGCGAAAGGGAUUAGAUACCCCUGUAGUCCUGGCCGUCAACGAUGAACACUAGAUGUUGGGGGAAUCGACCCCCUCGGUGUCGUAGCUAACGCGUUAAGUGUUCCGCCUGGGGAGUACGCACGCAAGUGUGAAACUCAAAGGAAUUGACGGGGGCCCGCCCAACCGGUGGAGUAUGUGGUUUAAUUCGAUGCAACGCGAAGAACCUUACCAAGGCUUGACAUCCUGCGAAUCUCCAAGAAGUUGGAGAGUGCCUUUUGGAACGCAGUGACAGGUGGUGCAUGGCUGUCGUCAGCUCGUGUCGUGAGAUGUUGGGUUAAGUCCCGCAACGAGCGCAACCCACGUUUUUAGUUGCCAGCAUUCAGUUGGGCACUCUAGAAAGACUGCCGGUGACAAACCGGAGGAGGGUGUGGACGACGUCAAGUCAUCAUGCCCCUUACGCCUUGGGCUACACACGUACUACAAUGCUGCGGACAAAGAGUAGCGAUCUUGCGAAAGUUAGCUAAUCUCGUAAACCGCGGCUCAGUUCAGAUCGUAGGCUGCAACUCGCCUACGUGAAGGAGGAAUCGCUAGUAAUCGCAGGUCAGCAUACUGCGGUGAAUACGUUCCCGGGCCUUGUACACACCGCCCGU